AUGAACACCUUCUUCACCCUUCCAUUUCUGCUGCGUCCAGAAAAUACAUAUCCAGGCCACCACGUUUUCAGGACAGUACAAGUUUGCUGCAGGACAGCAUGGCUGCAGUCACAUAUGUGGGAACCUCCUCCGUUCCCACUGGAGGCCUCCGCUUUGGGUCAAGUGGUAACACUGGAAUCAGCAGUCAUGAAGCAGAGGUUAAAAUGGGCAAUGUGCCGUAAAACUGCCGUGAGAGGGCAGCUGGGAAUUUGGAGAUGUGGCUGUGUCAGUAACUCAUAG
rnacentral:lncRNA from 1 species